rnacentral:lncRNA from 1 species
GUGGAGGGGGUGGCAGUUACUCGGCCUCCUCCUCCUCCUCCGCGGCGGCAGCGGCGGGGGCUGCGGUGUUACCGGUGAAGAAGCCGAAAAUGGAGCACGUCCAGGCUGACCACGAGCUUUUCCUCCAGGCCUUUGAGACUUGUCAGCUCAUUUGCAGCUUACGUUUACUGGUUUCUUCCACAAAAAUGAUAAGCCAUCACCAAACUCAGAAAAUGAACAAAAUUCUGUUACCCUGGAAGUCCUGCUUGUGAAAGUUUGCCACAAAAAAAGAAAGGAUGUAAGUUGUCCAAUAAGGCAAGUUCCCACAGGUAAAAAGCAGGUGCCUUUGAAUCCUGACCUCAAUCAAACAAAACCCGGAAAUUUCCCGUCCCUUGCAGUUUCCAGUAAUGAAUUUGAACCUAGUAACAGCCAUAUGGUGAAGUCUUACUCGUUGCUAUUUAGAGUGACUCGUCCAGGAAGAAGAGAGUUUAAUGGAAUGAUUAAUGGAGAAACCAAUGAAAAUAUUGAUGUCAAUGAAGAGCUUCCAGCCAGAAGAAAACGAAAUCGUGAGGAUGGGGAAAAGACAUUUGUUGCACAAAUGACAGUAUUUGAUAAAAACAGGUAAUGUUGAUGAACAAGUGAGGCUCCCACAAUGUUCUGGAAAUGUUUUCAUUCUGAAGCAGAAUAUAAUUAUUUAUAUUGA